UCUCAGAUAGUAUAGUGGUAAGUAUCCCCGCCUGUCACGCGGGAGACCGGGGUUCAAUUCCCCGUCUGAGAG